GGUUUAAAGUGAGAACCCACUCAUUUCAGCCCAUUUCUCCAUCAUUUCCCAUUAUAUUUUUAGAGCAUUUCGAGAGAGAGAGUGAAGGAAGAGGAAGAAGAAGUUGCUGCAGGUUGGAGGUUGAAGAAGGGAGGAAAAGCUCAUGCAAGUGCAACCAUGGAAGAAUUUGGGUUCAACCUACCUAUCUCUGGUUUUUAAGUCGGUUUGAGCUACAAAAGAAGAACUAAGAGGAAAACAGAGCACAGAAUUUUCGUGCAAAUCAGAAGGAUCUCUGUUUUUCUCUGGUUUUUCAAACAUUCUGGGGUGUACAGGUUGGAUUAGAAGCUCAAUUGGGUAUUUCUGGAAAUAUUAUUCAAUUUCCUAUAACUUUCAUGAAGAAUUCGUGAGCCAAAAAUGACUAGAAGUAAGUUUAAUUUCAGAAGAAAGGUAGAGGGUAGCAGAGAAGCACGAAUCUGUAUUUGCUGUGUUCGGGGGAUUUCUGGACAAAUACAUUGGGAAUCUCAUUUGUAUUCCUUCAGGUUAUAUUCCGUUGUUGAUGUUGAGUGUACUCCAUGACAACAAUGCUGUCGGGAGUGCUGGGCGGGCCCCACUACGACAAAGACGAUGAGAGUGCUGGGCAGGCCCCACUACAUCGUAGAGCUAGUAAACGUUGGUUGUACUGGGUGUGUCCUACACAACGUUGAUUUGUCAUGUAGAGAUCGAGCUCCCGGUGCCUGAUAACUCCCAAAGUCUGUUUUCUCCUAAAAGCUUCUAGAUCAAGCUUCAUACGUGGGUGGAGUUGUACAUUGUGUCUGUUUAGAUUGUAAAUGUCUUUGUAAGAACUGGAUAGUUUAUGGUUGUGUAAGCACUAGAUGUCAUGGUUGUGUAAACCCCAGUUGGAUAUGUUUUUGGUUGUGAUAUCUCUAUCAGGUUAUUUUCCAAACCGUGUUAUGUCAGGACUGCACUUCAUGUGUGUCUAAAGGUUUUCAGGGAUUCCGCUGUGUUGUGUUACAUGUAAAGUAUUUUAUAUCUAAGAUUAGUAUGUUUAUCAGGUUCAACGAUUCAACAGGGUCAACAGGCAUCGUUAGAGGAGGACGAUGUCUGUUGGCUUCACGCCAUCUCCCUGACUAAGCUAGCAGGUAGUUUAGGAGGGGGUGUGACACUUCGAGCUUUUAGGAGAAGAAAGGGUUUUGAAAGCAAAAUGUUUAGGGUUUUGAUUUGCUGGUAAAGAAUUUCCAAAGAUGGAGGAGGGAGUAUUUAAAGGUUGGGUCGUGGUGGGGCCCAAUGCGAUUUGUGUUGCAACUGACCUUGAGCAUCUCAACAGGCGCGUUGUUCCACCUCCCGCAUUUAUGGAAUUUUUAAAAAAAGCGUCCUUUCGUCUGCCAGGCCAUAAUUUCUUAGGCAUACAAAUCAAUUGGCCUUCUUCCCGAAUUACCAGACGAAUUUUCUUUAAUAUUUUAUUUGAAUGGACGCAUGAUAAGGUAUAACGCAUUGUGUUCAAUAACGCAAUUGCAUCUUUGCAGAGGAUGGGCACAGCGCAUAUGUCCCCGCAACACACCCCUUAACCAACGCAUUUCUGGAGGAUGCUUUGACAUAAUGCAUUUGGCUAAGGACGGGCAAAGGACAUAUACGAGUGCAACACAUCCCUCAACUCAAUA